UGGCGGCGUGCCUAACACAUGCAAGUCGAACGAAGUUUUUAUGGAAUGCGACUUCGGUCAAAUGAAGUUAAACUUAGUGGCGGACGGGUGAGUAACGCGUGAGCAACCUGCCUUUCAGAGGGGGAUAACGUUUGGAAACGAACGCUAAUACCGCAUGAUAUAACGUCAUGGAACCGCAUGAUUCUAUGACCAAAGGAGCAAUCCGCUGAGAGAUGGACUCGCGUCCGAUUAGCUAGUUGGAGAGGUAACGGCUCCCCAAGGCGACGAUCGGUAGCCGGACUGAGAGGUUGAACGGCCACAUUGGGACUGAGACACGGCCCAGACUCCUACGGGAGGCAGCAGUGGGGAAUAUUGCACAAUGGGCGCAAGCCUGAUGCAGCAACGCCGCGUGAGGGAAGACGGUUUUCGGAUUGUAAACCUCUGUCUUUGGUGACGAAGAAGUGACGGUAGCCAAGGAGGAAGCCACGGCUAACUACGUG
rnacentral:rRNA from 1 species